rnacentral:ncRNA from 2 species
UCAUAGCACCAGGGGGGCUGGGAUUGGCCGGCUGAGAGUGUAUCCCUCAAGAUACUGACCCUUAUACCUGAUCUGGAUAAUGCCAGCGUAGGAACCGUAAUUGAGCAUGGCU